rnacentral:misc_RNA from 1 species
GAUGAAGAACGUAGCGAAAUGCGAUAAGUAAUGUGAAUUGCAGAAUUCAGUGAAUCAUCGAAUCUUUGAACGCACAUUGCGCCCCCUGGUAUUCCGGUGGGCAUGCCUGUCCGAGCGUCAUUACAACCCUCAAGCUCAGCUUGGUGUUGGGCCCCGCCGCCCCGGCGGGCCCUAAAGUCAGUGGCGGUGCCGUCCGGCUCCGAGCGUAGUAAUUCUUCUCGCUCUGGAGGUCCGGUCGUGUGCUCGCCAGCAACCCCCAAUUUUUUUCAGGUUGACCUCGGAUCAGGUAGGGAUACCCGCUGAACUUAAGCAUAUCAAUAAGCGGAGGA